CUUUGCAAGACCAUCAAUGAUGCGACAGGAGGCGUAAUCAAGAUAUCAUGCAGUGCCGUGAAGUUUAGCAAACAGGCGGUGUGUGGAAAGCCUAUUGACAUCAAGGUUGUAACAGACACUCCUUUCGCUACGUGCUUGAAGGAUACUGGACUUACCUGCGUCCAAAACAAGCCAGUGGAUGAGCCAGCAUUGCUUGGAACCCUAAGAGUUUUGGCGUGCCUCGUCAGCUACGUUUUCACCACCGCUCCUGCGGACGUUGUGAAUCAGCUUGGCUGUGACUUCGUGACCUUCUUUGCCAGAAUAUUUGGACCGGCUGGAUACUUCACCUUCAAACCUUUUCUCUGCGCGUUUCAAAA